UACAGAGGUCCCAAGCGUUGUUCGGAUUCAUUGGGCGUAAAGGGUGCGUAGGCGGCGCGGUAAGUCGGGUGUGAAAACUCCAGGCUCAACUUGGAGACGCCACCCGAUACUGCUCUGACUUGAGUUCGGUAGGGGAGUGGGGAAUUCCUGGUGUAGCGGUGAAAUGCGCAGAUAUCAGGAGGAACACCGGUGGCGAAGGCGCCACUCUGGGCCGAAACUGACGCUGAGGAGCGAAAGCGUGGGUAGCAAACAGG
rnacentral:rRNA from 1 species